CCUCUUCCUCUUCAUUCUCCUCCUCCUCUUUCUCCUCCUCGUCGCCGAUCCAUCGCAACAGUGGCGGCCCUCGCCUCAGUUUUUGCUCUCUCUGGCCGUCUCUCAUCGUCGCGGUGGUCCGUUGCGUGGCUUCGUCUCGCCAACAAGAGUUUGCUUUCUCUCUUUUCUUUCUCUUUGUUCGGCUCUUUCUCUGGCCAUCUCUCGCCAUCGCUCAUGGCCUCGUCUUUGCUCCUCGCCCUCCCUCGCCUCCACCCUCCAUUGUCUUCCGGAUAUGUGUGUCGAAAUGUGUUGAGAAAAAUUGACCACGUGUCAAAAAAUUCGACACGCGUUGACCAUGUGUCAGUGUCAUGUUCGACACGUGUCGAGUCCAACCGUGUCCGAGCAUGUCGACGUGUCUGACAUUCUCCAAUAUGUGUUGGACACGACACGGAAGUUAGGGUAACGUGUCCAUGCUUCAUAGGUGUUAACUAUUACUCUGCAGAAAAGAAACUACUCAAAGGUUGGGGUUGCUAUUUCGAGGAAGUCAGCAAAGUUUUCUUGAGGAGUGAGCCUACAACAAGAUGCCAAGAAUCCACUUACCCAAAGUUUUUUCUCCACUACUUUUGUCGGCCACGAAGAAGCUUGUGUCAAUCAUAGAAUCAAAAUAAAGCCGUGGUGAAAAUAAGUCCACGUGUUCACACUUAUGACAUUUGUCCAUCGACGUGUUCACACCUACCCAGAAAAAAAAAUCACGCCUCUUUGUGCCAGUAUAAAAAUAAAUCAAUAAGAAGAUCUAAGAGUGAGCGACUACCUGAAAACACUACCAAAUCUUAAGCUAAUAGUCAUUGCUGAUUGUUAAACUCAAGAAUCUAAUGGCUUCUUCAACGACACCCAAUGGGAUUUAUGAUGUCUUCCUAAGUUUCAGAGGUACAGAUCUACGGAAUAACUUCAUUGGUCAUCUCUACAAUGCUCUAGAUCAGAACGGAGUAUUCACUUUCAUCGAUAGUGAGGAACUAAGGAAGGGAGAUCAAAUAUCACAAGCGCUUAUGAAGGCCAUUGAAGAGUCAUGCAUCGCAAUCAUCGUUUUCUCGGACGAUUAUGCUUCCUCUCGGUGGUGCUUGGAAGAGCUAGCGAAGAUUAUGGAAUGCAAGGAGCAAAAGGACCUGAUUGUUCUACCAGUGUUUUAUAAAGUGGACCCCAGAGAAGUUAGAGGGGGCAGAGAGAGUUAUGGGAGAGCUUUGGCCAAGCAUGAGUUCAAGUUUGGAAAGGAUUCGAAGGAAGUGAAGAGAUGGAAGAAAGCUCUUUUUGAUGCUGGUAACUUAUCUGGGUGGCAUCUAGGUGAUGGAGAUGAGUCAGAGCUUAUACAAAGGAUUGUAAAGGAGAUCUCCAUUCGCCUAGACCGAACACCUUUGCAUGUUGCUAAGCAUCCGGUUGGGAUAGAUUCUCGAGUGGUUAAGCUGAAAUCAAUGUUAAACCUUGAGUCUAAUGAUGACCCGAUCAUGUUGGGAUUAUGGGGACAAGGAGGCAUUGGGAAGACAACUUUAGCAAGAGCUCUAUACAAUGCUAUUUUUAGACAAUUUGAGAGUUCAUGUACUGGUUUCUCGGUGGAUUUGUUGGCCGCAUAUGGAGUUGCGGAGGCAGGCGCGUGGACUGCAAGGGCGUGGAAACUUCGGUCAACAAACGGUGGAGGAGAGGGCACCGUUGACUGGUGUGCUGGCGUGGAGAUUUCAUCUUCGGUGGAUGAUGGAGCUGCGCGCGAAGGAGACACGAGCUGGCAGCAAAAAUUCUUGGGUCUUCGGUGGCCGCGACUUCAAGUGGUCAACGAAGGAGCUCCUAUACUGAAAAUUCUGGAUGUCACAUCAUGUCUUUUGGCAAAUGUUCGAGAAGCUUCCAAAGAUUCUAGGGAUUUAGUUCAAUUGCAAGAAAAAUUACUAUAUGAGAUUUUAUCACUACGAAAAAGAUUAGUAGUGUCUAGUGUUGAUAGAGGUAUUAAUCUAAUACAGCAUAGACUUCGUCACAAGAAAGUUCUCCUUAUCCUUGAUGAUGUAGAUGACUUGCGUCAAUUAAAUGCUUUGGCGAGAAGAAGGCAAGUGGUUUGGUAAUGGAAGUAGGAUCAUUGUUACCACAAGAGAUAAACAUUUGCUAACUUGUCAUGGGAUUGAUCAAGAUCAUGUGUUCGAGGUUGAAGCACUUGAUGACAAUGAAGCUCGCAAGUUGCUUAGCAGUCAUGCUUUUCCGACACACCAAAAAUUAGAAAUCAGGACAGAUCUGGUGGAUAGGGUUCUACAUUAUGCUAAAGGCCUUCCGUUAGCACUUGAGUUGCUGGGUUCCUUCUUAUGUGGUAGAAAAGAAGAUGUAUGGGAAAGUACGCUACAAAAACUUUCUAGGAUUCCCAACAAAACCAUUAAUGAUGUGCUCAAAAUAAGUUAUAAUGGACUAGAGGAAAAUGAGAAAGAGAUUUUUCUCCACAUUGCCUGCUUCUUUAAGGGAAAGGAUAGCAACUACAUAAAGAAAGUUCUUGAUAGUUGCGAUUUUGAGACAACUGUAGGAUUUCAAAUUCUCAUUGAGAGGUCCUUGAUAAGCAUUGAAAACGGACCACUACAAAUGCAUGACUUGAUUCAAGCAAUGGGUAUAGAUAUUGUGAACCAAGAGUGUCGAGAUGAACCCAUGAGACGAAGUAGACUAUGGCUUUAUGAUGAUAUUCUCAAUGUUUUAUCAAACGACAUGGGAGACUGUAUUGUAAAAGCCAUAGUGCUGGAGUCACUUGAGCCGAUAGACAUAUGUAUCAAUCCUGAUGCUUUUACAAAAAUGAGAAGGUUGAGAUUGCUCAUUUUGCGCAAUGUGCAUAAUUCUUCCCAAAGUCCUAUAUGUAUUCCCAAUUGGCUAAGAUGGUUUGAAUGUCUUGGUGCUUCGUGGAUUCCAGAAUUUUCCUCUGGUCCAAAGAAAUUAGUGGGACUUAAUAUGAGCGAAGGCAAUAUCACAGGAGUUGUAAAACGAUUUAAGGACUUCCAAAAUUUGAAGUACAUUACUUUCAGUCACUGUGAGUCGUUGGUUUGUAUGCCCGACAUUCAAUGUACUCCUAAUCUUGAGCAAUUGAAUCUCAUGUAUUGCAAAAACUUGGUAGAGGCCCACGAGUCCAUUGCAUAUCAUGACAAGUUACAAGUGUUGAAUUUAUGUGAGUGUCCCGAACUUAGUGUUUUUCCAAAUGUGCUCAAGUAAAAAAACCUCCAAGUUCUCCACCUUGAAAAUUGCACAAAAUUUGAAAGGUUCCCUAAUAUUCCUCAUAAACUCGAAGGCUUGAAACAACUUCAUUUACAGGGGACCGCUAUUAAAGAACUUCCUUCAUCAAUAGAAAAUCUUGUCUCUUUGGAGAUUAUGUAUAUAUAUCAUUGCAAAAACCUAGUAACUCUUCCAUCUAGCAUUUAUAAGUUACAAAACCUUUCAAACUUGCAAGCCAACUCUUGCACAAAUUUAAUUGAGUUUCCAAAGUACGAGGAUUUAGCUGAUCACUGUAUGAAGACCGGACUUUCAAAUUUACGUUGGUUGGACCUUUACGGAUGUAAUUUGUCCGAAGUAAAGUUUCUUGAGAAUCUUUCCUGUUUUCCUUUCUUGGAAACUUUAUUGCUCGGGGGAAAUAAUAUAACUAUCCUUCCUACAUCCAUCAAUAAGCGUCAUCAUUUGCUCCAUUUGAGUGUUAGAGAAAGCCAUCAAUUACAAGAGAUUCCUGAGCUUCCACCAUUUUUGAAUUGUCUUUUGGCGGAUGGUUGCGAAUCUAUGCAAAAUGCUGGAGAUUUAACUUCAUUUCAUGAUUUUGUCCGUAGAGGGGUGACCAUGCCUGAUAUUUCCCCACUUUACCCGAGUCCUCUUCGUUACCCUCAUUACCUAAUUACUCUCCCUAGAAGAGAGAUGCCAAAGUGGGUCCUUCCCAUUGAAGGGGAUUCCGUAUCUUUCAUGGCUUCAAAGAAAUUGUACGACAAAUUUCUUGGAUUUGCUCUCUAUGUUGCUCUUGGUAAUGAUGAACAAAAAAAGGGACAGCCUUUUCAGCUUGUACCAUGUGUUAAUGGCGAAUGUCAGAAUUAUUGGGUACCACAUUACGAUACCUUUUUGUCGAAUUCGGACCGUAUCUGGCUUCAAUAUUUCACACCAUCUCAGCUCUGGGGAGUAGUCGAUUUUGGUCAAAUUGACAGGAGUUAUGUACAAUUUAGCCUAACCAUAUCAAGUCGAAUUGUGAAAAAAUGAGGAUUCCGAAUUAUAUGCGUGCAAUUAGAGGAAGAUUUAAAGAUUGUGCUUCGAGAUGAUCAGCUAAUGGAUCCAGCUUUACUCUAUGAGGUUGUUUUCGAAUCAACAGAUUCAGAAGCCAAGAUUUCACUUAUGCAUGAAGAUAGUUCGAUCGAAACAGAUCUACAGAAAGACUUGCAAGAUUGUCAAAUGUGUGCCGAGGAAAAAUGUCAAAUAGUACCAAAGAGAAAUUAUAAGCCUAUUGUCCCUCAAGGCAUGCAAACCAAGACUAUGUUGGCUUCCAAUUCGAUUGGCAGAGAUAAGAAUGGUAGUGUUGGCUUGCAGCUUUUGUUGUUAGAAUGAUCAAAACAUGCUAAAGAAGCAAUUCGUAGCAUCAUCACUGCUCAUCUUCCAUCCGACACCACCAAGCUUUGACCAAUGUAAGAUCGCCACCUACCAACGAAGGCAACAAACAGAAGUAUUUAGCCUUCUUGGAACAGAGUCCAUAGCAAACUGAUGGCGAUGAAGACUGGCGAUUUGAGGCGACAAUUCUCUGCAGGGUUCUGGGCUUCUUGCACCUUGCUAUAGAUGAGGCACGCAUGCACGAGGGAAUUUCUGACUCUUAUCAUCAUUUUUUUUUCUCCUAACAAGUAACGAGGCCUAUUUGCUUUUCUUAUACAAGGCAAAGCUUGCCUUGGACAGCGUUGAAGUUCCACUAGGGCCUACUGGGCCAGAAGCUUCUCAAGCUCAGCUAUUUACUUUUCUAGUUAGAGACCAACAUCUUGGGGCUAACGUGGGAUCCGCUCAAGGACCUACUCGUUUAGGUAAAUAACUAAUACGUUCCCCGACUGGAAAAGUAAUUUUUGGAGGGGAAACUAAGUGUUUUUGGGAUCUGCGUGCUCCUUGGUUAGACAAGUGAGAUAGAUGUGUAACUAACCUCUAAAACUAAGCCACGGCCCACCGAUGGAAGGGUCACAGAAGGUAACCAGUUAGCGAGGGGUGUUGGUAAGCGAAAUAGUGCCUUUGUUGGCCUAGAAAGAAUUCCCUCGAAAAGCACUGGUUAAAGGGCUAAGUGAAAUUCCCAAGAAAAGCAAGCGCUAUGGAAAGAAUAGCUUUGAAGCUACCUUUAUAAUGGGAUUCCAACUCAGCACCUUUUGAGAAAAAUUUCUCUUUAGAGAGCAUAGUACGAUGAAAGUUGGUUGCUGUAAUGGGCUUACUUCAUCAUAACAUGACCUUAUUUACACAUACAGUUUAAACCUGGAUUCUAGCAGAGAUCAUCGUUUAUCUAAUAGUCUAUUUCUGCAAUCAUUCAGGCAUGUGGUGAUAGUACACUACUAUGAAUGAUUUUAGGGGUAGUAAUGAGUAGAUGGCACGUAAAAAAUUUGGCCCUUUUAGUAUCUUGCGGAGUUUAAUAAAAAACAAAGGCACCUUGCUACAGGGUUAUGUGUAAUAAUACUAUUAGAAAAGGUGGAUGUGGCUUAUCCAAUAAGAAGCCUCUUUUUCUAUGUCGGAUUCUCAGCAACUUCAAGCAAGCAAAACUUGUUAACUUCAUGUGAUGUAUGCCUCGAUUAAUCGUAUAUAUACUCUCAAUCGGUUAACUUGAAGGGAAAGACUUCUUCCUUGAAAUGCAUCUCUUAAUUAUGUUGAAAAUACACUAAGAGCAGCUAUCUCCCUGACAAGGGUCCUUUGAUUUGCUUGCUUUGUUUUUCUCCUUGGGCUUUCAUGGGCAGCAAGACAUGCAAAGAUGGAAGCACUUUAUGUUCUUGAAUAGUGGCAGAGGACUGGAUUUUUGGCUGCAGAAGUUGCAAAGGAGUUUCCAGCAUGCUUCCUUUAUGUGACAUGUGAACCAUGCAUAAUGUGUGCUGCAGCAUUAUCGAUCAUAGAUAUAAAGGAAGUAUGUCAUGGCUGUGCAAACGACAAGUUUGGUGGCUGCGGCUCAAUACAGUCGUUAUUCAAGAAGCUCUGAGGCAUGCAUUAUGUCAAUUUCUGAACUUGCUCUUGUUGCCGAUUUUGUAUCUACAAAGAUCCACUUUGAAAUUGAGAAAUAUGACAAUUGACAGCUAUAGUUUACUGGAGGUUUAUAAUUCCUAAGGUUGAUUACCGAUGGGUGAGGUUUCCUAGUGAUUCUGGAUGUUGUGGUGCUUUAAAUAUUCCAACACAUAACCAUGAAAAUUAAUGGAGGUUAAUGGAAAUAAUUUUCCAUC